AGUGAACGCUGGCGGUAGGCCUAACACAUGCGAGUCGAACGGCAGCACAGUAAGAGCUUGCUCUUACGGGUGGCGAGUGGCGGACGGGUGAGGAAUACAUCGGAAUCUACUUUUUCGUGGGGGAUAACGUAGGGAAACUUACGCUAAUACCGCAUACGACUUACGGGUGAAAGCAGGGGAUCUUCGGACCUUGCGCGAUUGAAUGAGCCGAUGUCGGAUUAGCUAGUUGGCGGGGUAAAGGCCCACCAAGGCGACGAUCCGUAGCUGGUCUGAGAGGAUGAUCAGCCACACUGGAACUGAGACACGGUCCAGACUCCUACGGGAGGCAGCAGUGGGGAAUAUUGGACAAUGGGCGCAAGCCUGAUCCAGCCAUACCGCGUGGGUGAAGAAGGCCUUCGGGUUGUAAAGCCCUUUUGUUGGGAAAGAAAAGCAGCAGGUUAAUACCCCGCUGUUCUGACGGUACCCAAAGAAUAAGCACCGGCUAACUUCGUG
rnacentral:rRNA from 1 species